rnacentral:rRNA from 1 species
GAUGAACGCUGGCGGUGUGCCUAAUACAUGCAAGUCGAGCGAACAGACGAGGAGCUUGCUCCUUUGACGUUAGCGGCGGACGGGUGAGUAACACGUGGAUAACCUACCUAUAAGACUGGGAUAACUUCGGGAAACCGGAGCUAAUACCGGAUAACAUGUUGAACCGCAUGGUUCAACAGUGAAAGACGGUUUUGCUGUCACUUAUAGAUGGAUCCGCGCCGCAUUAGCUAGUUGGUAAGGUAACGGCUUACCAAGGCAACGAUGCGUAGCCGACCUGAGAGGGUGAUCGGCCACACUGGAACUGAGACACGGUCCAGACUCCUACGGGAGGCAGCAGUAGGGAAUCUUCCGCAAUGGGCGAAAGCCUGACGGAGCAACGCCGCGUGAGUGAAGAAGGUCUUCGGAUCGUAAAACUCUGUUAUUAGGGAAGAACAAAUGUGUAAGUAACUAUGCACGUCUUGACGGUACCUAAUCAGAAAGCCACGGCUAACUACGUG